rnacentral:snoRNA from 1 species
UUGCUCUAAUCAAAUUCUGGCUGUCCCUAUAGCCAAGUAAGGACAGCAUUAUUUCUUCUGUGCUCUACAAGUAGAUGAAGGUUAGUUAGCUGUAUAACUAGGCAGUAAUGCUUCCAGUGUUUUUCCAACAAAU